rnacentral:snRNA from 1 species
AUGCUUGCUUCAGCAGCACGUACACUAAAAUUGGAAUUAUACAGAGAAGAUUAGUAUAGCGCUUGCACAAGGAUGACACAGAAUUCGUGAAGUGUUUCAUAUUUUU